UACGAAGGGGGCUAGCGUUGCUCGGAAUCACUGGGCGUAAAGCGCACGUAGGCGGAUUGUUAAGUCAGGGGUGAAAUCCUGGAGCUCAACUCCAGAACUGCCUUUGAUACUGGCGAUCUCGAGUCCGGGAGAGGUUAGUGGAACUGCGAGUGUAGAGGUGAAAUUCGUAGAUAUUCGCAAGAACACCAGUGGCGAAGGCGGCUCACUGGGCCGGUACUGACGCUGAGGUGCGAAAGCGUGGGGAGCAAACAGG
rnacentral:rRNA from 1 species